rnacentral:rRNA from 1 species
UACAUGUGGGGCAAGCGUUGUUCGGAAUUACUGGGCAUAAAGGGUGCGUAGGUGGCUUGCUAAGUCAGUGGUGAAAUCGUCCGGCCCAACCGGACACGUGCCAAUGAUACUGGUGAGCUUGAGUGCGUGAGGGGUAGGGGGAACGAGCAGUGUAGCGGUGAAAUGCGUAGAUAUUGCUCGGAAGGCCAAAGCCGAAGGGACCCUACUGGUACGUAACUGACACUGAGGCACGAAAGCGUGGGGAGCAAACAGG